AGAGAGAGCAAUGACUGAACACAAAAACUACAACGACAUCACUACAAGCUUACAGCAUUACUCUCAUACAAACUCUCAAGACUUUAUACACAAUUAAGCGCUUCUUCACGCCGAAAGUCACUUACAGUGCACAUGAUUUAUGGACCAUUGGUUCCAGUUCAUGCAUUAUCUCCAGCUCUACUGGAUCAGUGACGUGUUGUGGACUGUAAGACUGUUGAACAGAAGCAGAGACGUGUGGACAGACACUGACUGUACUGAUGAUGAUCAUCUGCUGCUGCACAGGCUGUAAAGUAUAACCCCUGCUGGACACGGCUCCGGAAGCUCCAGGGGGAGACCGAACUGGUAUCCCCCCUUCUUCAGGCGCGCCUCACACUCACUCACCAUUCACACAUAUCGCAGAGUUCUGGCUGGGACCGAUACCAGCAACCCCUGAAGCCGUGGGGCAGCGCUCUUACCACAGAGCCACAGAUCUCCUGUCUGAACACCUGCUGGAACUGAUGUUUGGAUGCUGACCUGUGUGUGAGCUGAUUCAAUAAAACAAGAUACAAAUCAGAUGUGAACCCUUGUCUUUAUGAGUCUCUUCCUCAGAGAACUUGUGUUUAUUGACUCACCCAUCAUGAGUAUCACACCAGCGUCCAUCAUCAGGAUGGUGAAUAUAAUGAGCUGAAGGUGGACAUUAGUCAAAGUGAGGAUUGAACCCGGGUCUUCUUGAUUAAAGUCCAACACUUUAUGACCUGAGCCACCAAGUCUGAUGUUGGAGGACAUAUCUGAAUGGGGCUUUAUCACAAACUCCAUCAUGACCAAGGUUUGACACAUAUUUCUUUGUAAUUUGGCUCACAAAACAACCAUAUCCAAAAAUCAAGCUCUGUGGUUCAGUGGAUGAGCGUUUAACUAUUGUACAGAAGUGCGAAGGAUCAAAUCCCACUCUUGCUAUAUUCAAGUCAGAUUUGGACUCUUGUCUUUAUGAGUCUCUUCCUCAGAGAACUUGUGUUUAUUCACUCAAUCAUCAUGAGUUUCACAUCAGCGUCCAGCUUGAACUCAUUAUAUUCACCAUCAGCUUCCAUCAUCAGGGCAGGACACUGAUGGUGAAUAUAAUAAGCUAAAUCUGGACAUUAGCCAUAGUGAGAUUUGAACCCGGGUCUCUUUGUUUAAAGUUCAACACUUCAUGACCUGAGCCACAGAGUCUGGAUGGUGAAGCAAAUGUUUGAAUGGAGCUUUAUCUAUUUCCUAAUUUUACCUGUGAUUUGAGAUAAAUUUCUUUGUUAUUUGGUUUACAAAAAGACCAUUGCCAGAAGUCAAGGCCUGUGGCUCAGUGGAUGAGUCUUUGACCGCUCUACAGAAGACUGAAGGAUCGAAACCCUCACUUGCUACAAUUACAUCACAUCUUUGUUAAAACUCUCAAUAAAACCUAUUUCCAGCAGUCUAAAUUCAUCCAUCUCAGUGGCUCAAGUCAUAAAGUAAUGUGCUUUCAUGCAGGAGACCUGGGUUCAAAUCUCUCUAUUGCUUCCUUUACUGUCAUUUGCUGGAAUUCAGUCAGACAAAGUGGCCCAAGCAGCAUGAAAGCUAUGAUGGGCUAGUGGCUGAACACACAGUCAAUGUGAACGAGACUACGGUAGAGGCUUGGGUACGAAACUCACUUCGCUGUGUGGAUCACACGAAAAGAACUGCUGAAAGGAAAGUAAUCAGUGCAGGAUUGAGGAAAAACACUUUUGUUUUUUGUAUUUGGAUCAGCAGUAAAGAGCAGUAACAGGACUCAGAUUUGAACCCAGGUAUGCUUUGAGAACUUCACAUCUCAGGCUGUGUGCUCUGACCACUACACCAUCAGCACACACACAAACACACACUUCUUUCUCCAGUGUAAGGAUGACCACAUUUACACAUUUUGAAAAAAAAAAAACUGAAUAAACACAAAUAAUUAAUAACAAAUGUAAAUGAUACAAAAUACAUUCAAACUACAUCAUAUGCUAAUAUAUUAUUAUAUUUCAUUGUUCAAAAUGUGAAAAACCUGCUUAUUCUUCAGUCAAACACAUCAACCAUAUGUUAAAUGAUCUUACAGCUGCUUGUGGGGCUUUAAAUGUCACUAAACACAAUUAAACACUGUAAAUAUCAUCAUUUACCUCUAAAGUCUCCUCAUACUGUAUUGAGCACUCUACACCAAAUCUGGCCAAUCAGAUGCUUUCUACAGAAAGUCCCUCCCCCAACAUACACGCGACAGAGCAGCAGCACAACAAACACACUUUCUGGACUCUCUACUGGAAAUAUGAGCUCAUAAAUACCUUUACUGGAGCUGUGAAUCCGCCUGGAUGUGGAGGAGUGUGUGGAGGAGCGUCAGAAAGAGGAAAGAUGUGCAGCAGAAACACAACAGACACACGUGUGUAUCUUCACUGCUGCAGAGGAGGAGAGAGAGCAAUGCCUGAACACAAACACUACAGCAACAUCACUACAAACAAACCCACCGAAACAAAGUCACUUACAGGAUCAGUGAAGUGUUGUGGACUGUAAGCCUGUUGAACAGAAGCAGAGACGUGUGGACAGACACUGACUGUACUGAUGAUGAUCAUCUGCUGCUGCACAGGCUGUAAAGUAUAACCCCUGCUGGACACGGCUCCGGAAGCUCCAGGGGGAGACCGAACUGGUAUCCCCCCUUCUUCAGGCACGCCUCACACUCACUCACCAUUCACACAUAUCGCAGAGUUCUGGCUGGGACCGAUACCAGCAACCCCUGAAGCCGUGGGGCAGCGCUCUUACCACAGAGCCACAGAUCUCUGUUUGAACACCUGCUGGAACUGAUGUUUGACUGCUGACCUGUGUGUGAGCUGAUUCAAUAAAACAAGAUACAAGUCA